rnacentral:snRNA from 1 species
GCAUGUGGGGUGAUCUCGCUGCCACCCCACUAAUUGCCAAGGUUGACCCAGCUGAUCUGGCUGCCUAGACAGAUAUCCCCUUCCUCCCUCACUGCUAUUUCAUCCCUCCAGAAAGCUGUGCUGGGUCCAAGCCAGCCACCUUCCCUGACAGAGGAGGACNGGUCUUCAGUCGAGGAUAUACCAGUAUCUGUGCUUCCCCUAGAACUUCUAAACAGGCUCUCAAAAAACAAACACCACCACAAAUCAAAGAUUCACAGAUAAUGACUAACAGUACAUUUGUACUGGAAUAAUAUGCUUUAUUCCAUCUAC